GAAAGAUGAAAAGCACUUUGGAAAGAGAGUUAAACAGUACGUGAAAUUGCUGAAAGGGAAACGCUUGAAGUCAGUCGCGUCGGCCGGAACUCAGCCUUGCUUUCGCUUGGUGUACUUUCCGGUCGACGGGCCAGCAUCGAUUUCGAUCGUCGGAAAAAGGCAGAGGGAAUGUGGCACCUUCGGGUGUGUUAUAGCCCUCUGUUGCAUACGACGGUUGGGAUCGAGGUUCGCAGCACGCCUUUAUGGUCGGGGUUCGCCCACGUUCGUGCUUAGGAUGCUGGCGUAAUGGCUUUAAACGACCCGUCUUGAAACACGG
rnacentral:ncRNA from 1 species